UACGGGGGGGGCAAGCGUUGUUCGGAAUUACUGGGCGUAAAGGGCUCGUAGGCGGGUCUUUAAGUCAGGGGUGAAAUCCUGGAGCUCAACUCCAGAACUGCCUUUGAUACUGAAGAUCUUGAGUUCGGGAGAGGUGAGUGGAACUGCGAGUGUAGAGGUGAAAUUCGUAGAUAUUCGCAAGAACACCAGUGGCGAAGGCGGCUCACUGGCCCGAUACUGACGCUGAUGCACGAAAGCGUGGGGAGCAAACAGG
rnacentral:rRNA from 1 species